CCAGAGGCCUGCACAGGCAGCUGGAACUUCCCAAGUGGGGCAGAACACAGGGCUGACUCCAGCGCCUGUUGAGUCACCCCACGGGCUAUUUUUUUUUACUUUUUCUUUGGCUAAAUCAGGCAAUCCGCAUUGCUCUCACAGGCCAACUUGGCAGCUGCCCGUGGAACCUGAUCCAUGCCAGCCGGUUUGGGACUCAUUCUUUUCCAUAGCUCCCAGUUUACUCGGAGAAAGAGAACGGUGAUUUCAUCCUGAUGGGGCCCUGGACAAGAGUCUGAAGAGAGAAAGCUGCUGAAUUGUGAAGCAAGUUCAUUUCCCUGCCUACUGGAAUAGCAGGGAGGAGUUGAGGAGUGUUAACUAUUGACUGGACCAUCUUGUGAUCAUCAACAGUGAGUGAAGAAAAUGUUGACAGAUGAUGUAGUUGGAUGUCAGUCUGCCAGUAGCAACAGUACAGCAACUCACAACACCUCUGCUCAGACUUAAAAGAAAACAUCAUACAUAGUCACUUCGCAGGAAGGCGGAGGCUAACGGCUUCGCCUCUUCUACAGACUUUCUGCUCAGGUUGCCCUGGAGCUUCCAUCCGCCUUCAGGAAAAUGCAGGAAGGACUGGCACAGCCUUUUAGCAAUUCAAGAUGGAAAAAGUUAUAUGGUUACCCUCCAUAUGGGAGGAUGCGGGGACAUGUGAGAGAUUAAACCGAUAGAUUUUGAAGUUGCUUCUGCAUUUCUGAAUAAUCCCAUAGCGUACCCAGAUAACAAAUUAAAAUCUGUUGGACGUAUCAUUUAUUUUUGACAUACCAGUAACCGUGAAUACGAGAGCCAUUCUGACAAUAACUAAGGACCAAGGGGGACCAGCAGUAAUACCUGCUUAUUAUUUUCUGUAAUGGAAAGACAAGCAGUCUUUAAUGGCUCACUUCAGGAUCUGAAUGAUCUCAAGAGCAAAUCACACUGCAGGAGCCAAAUCUUGAGGUUAAUGUAAAGAAUCAGAUUGCUAUUGGAGACAAGGUAUACAUGUUUCAGUUGAUCUACACUUGCACGUAAGAAGAAAGAUGAGCCAAUGAUAGGGAAGGGAAUGAAGCUAUUACUGCAUUGUCAACGGAAAGGAAGUGCUGGAGAUCAGGCUUUGGAAUCAGGAGACCGAGAAACAUAAGUUCUGGUCAGAAAAUUUGGAAAAGGAAUUUCCCACAGAAAAACUGUCAUCUUUAAUCAGAGGAAUGGUGAUUCCAAAGCUGUGAUCUAUAAAUGUGACUGCAGUAUCUCAUUAAAGGUCAGAAUCACCACCUGCCUGAGCAAGUGUGCC
ensembl:lncRNA